rnacentral:rRNA from 1 species
GAUGAACGCUGGCGGCGUGCCUAAUACAUGCAAGUCGAGCGAACGGACGAGAAGCUUGCUUCUCUGAUGUUAGCGGCGGACGGGUGAGUAACACGUGGAUAACCUACCUAUAAGACUGGGAUAACUUCGGGAAACCGGAGCUAAUACCGGAUAAUAUUUUGAACCGCAUGGUUCAAAAGUGAAAGACGGUCUUGCUGCCACUUAUAGAUGGAUCCGCGCUGCAUUAGCUAGUUGGUAAGGUAACGGCUUACCAAGGCAACGAUGCAUAGCCGACCUGAGAGGGUGAUCGGCCACACUGGAACUGAGACACGGUCCAGACUCCUACGGGAGGCAGCAGUAGGGAAUCUUACGCAAUGGGCGAAAGCCUGACGGAGCAACGCCGCGUGAGUGAUGAAGGUCUUCGGAUCGUAAAACUCUGUUAUUAGGGAAGAACAUAUGUGUAAGUAACUGUGCACAUCUUGACGGUACCUAAUCAGAAAGCCACGGCUAACUACGUG